GAUGAACGCUGACAGAAUGCUUAACACAUGCAAGUCAACUGUGGCGGACGGGUGAGUAACGCGUAAAGAACUUGCCUCACAGAUAGGGACAACAUUUGGAAACGAAUGCUAAUACCUGAUACUGUGAGAGAGCUUUGCGUCCCAUUAGCUAGUUGGAGAGGUAACGGCUCACCAAGGCGAUGAUGGGUAGCCGGCCUGAGAGGGUGAUCGGCCACCAGGGGACUGGGACACAGCACUUGCUCCUACGGGAGGCAGCAGUGGGGAAUAUUGGACAAUGGACCAAAGUCUGAUCCAGCAAUUCGGUGUGCACGAUGAAGUUUUCGGAAUGUAGAGUGCUUUCAGUUAGGAAGCGGUACCAACAGAGGAAGUGACGGCUAAAUACGUGCCAGCCGCCGCGGUAAUAC
rnacentral:rRNA from 1 species